rnacentral:rRNA from 1 species
UACGUAGGUGGCAAGCGUUAUCCGGAUUUAUUGGGCGUAAAGAGAACGCAGGCGGUCUUCUAAGUCUGAUGUGAAAGCCUUCGGCUUAACCGGAGUAGUGCAUUGGAAACUGGGAGACUUGAGUGCAGAAGAGGAGAGUGGAACUCCAUGUGUAGCGGUGAAAUGCGUAGAUAUAUGGAAGAACACCAGUGGCGAAAGCGGCUCUCUGGUCUGUAACUGACGCUGAGGUUCGAAAGCGUGGGUAGCAAACAGG